UCCCCUUAUAAAUAAACUCCCUUUUCUUUUCAUCAUCAACGACUCACCUCCAUUCUCUCUCUGUAAAAACUCCUUCAGCUUUUUCUCCUUUUCACUUGCUAUCAUAUCAGAUUGCAUAUAUAUAUAUAUAUAGAUAGAUAGAUACUGUGUAUUAUACAUAAAUAUACACAUCUAAAUCGUUCCAGAAACCAGAAGACAUAGCUGAUCAUUCGUCAAGCUUUCGAGGUAAGCUGAUCUCUUCCUUUCGCCUUUUACACUUCUGUAUAUAUGUCUGUUCGUGCGUGCGUGCGUGUGUGUGUGUGUGUGUAUACAUAAGCUCAAUCUUCCAUAUAUAUGCACUAUCUCACUCUUCAAACACUGACAUAUAUGUUGAUUUCCUGUGAUAUCCUUCAUAUUUUUAGCUAAAUUUGACUUUCAAGCUGUAUUGCGGAUGAUCGCGUGAUAUAUAUUCAAGUUACUGAAAAAUAAGUUUUCUCUGGUUUUUCGUCUUCAAAUAGGGGAGCAACCGUUUCUAGGUUUCUACUGAUAAUCACAACGUGCUAAAUUAACCGACAGAUUUUUAUCACUUGAUCUGAUCUAUCUGCUC
rnacentral:lncRNA from 1 species